rnacentral:misc_RNA from 1 species
AGAGUGGUAUUCUGAGGUGGUUGUCAGUGGAGAAAUGAUUGAGUAUUAUGAUAUCUCUGGCUGUUAUAUACUGAGGCCGUGGGCAAUAUCUGUCUGGGAGACUAUGCAAGUAUUUUUUGAUGCAGAAAUUAAGAAAAUGAAAAUCAAGAACUGCUAUUUUCCACUUUUUGUAUCUCCUGGCGUCUUACAAAGAGAGAAAGAUCAUAUCGAAGGUUUUGCUCCUGAGGUUGCUUGGGUGACAAAAUCU